GCUGGGCAUGGUGGUGUGUGCCUGUGGUCCCGACUACUUGGGAGGCUGAGGCAGGAGUAUCACUUGAGCCCAGGAGUUCAAGGAGGCAGUGAGAUAUAGUCAUGCCACUACACUCCAGCCUGAGCAACAGAGUGAGAUCCUGUCUCUA
rfam:Homo sapiens chromosome 1, GRCh38 reference primary assembly.